CAAUUUUAAAAAUAUUAUAUUCAUUUCGUUUGUUAAUAAGCAGAAGGGUGUAAAGGUGAAGAAGAAAGUUUGAUCGAGAGGUUCGUCUGAUGAUCGACCAACUAAGAAAUUGAAAGUUGUCGUCCAUGAUGAUGAUUCCGAUGUUGAUUUUGAUUGUCAUGAAGUUUCCAUUGAGUUACCAAAGUACAUUAAGGCCUGGGAGUUUUACUUGAAACCUGAGUAAAGGAUGUGCGGUAAAUUGUUAUAUUGGACUACUGGUCUAGAUGUUAUUGUUACCAUUAAGGCAAAGCUUAAUAAGAAGCAACUCGAUAUGUUUGGGGUACAUGUUUUGGGCAUUUUUUAGAUCUUAAGUCCUAUACUAUGUAGUCUCAUAUUAUACACACCACUUUUUUUAGGGAAGUUCAUCAACCAAAUUCUAGUGAAUUGUGGUUUGAUUUUGGUUGUGAUAGGGUUCUAUUUGGAUUAGCAGAGUUUGCUAUUAUUUUGGGUUGGUGUGUAAGGGUUAUGCUGAUUUGAAAAGGUUUGAAGAAAAUGGGAAUUAUUUUAUAGACAAGUAUUUUAGUGAUCAUCGUGUUACCCUUCAUGCUCUUGCGGAGCGUUUUAUAAAUAGUGAAUUUAAGGAUGACGAUUUUGCUGUGAGGAUGGUUGUUUUGUAUUUGGUUACUAACUAAUUUCUUAGCAAACCAAAGCAUCAACAAGUUAGAAAUGGGUUACUAAAUUUGAUUGGAUCUGGAGAGUUUAAGAGUUUUCUAUGGGGGAAGUUAGUAUAUGAUACUACUUUGUAUUAUCUGAGGGCUGGUUUGAAGGGGAAGAAAGCUAGGAAGGCUAGUAAGGAAAAUGUUUCUUGUAAAGGGAAAGGAAAGGCGAAGAAGGAUAAUUGUAGAAGCUAUAAGUUAGCUGGUUUUCCUUUCGUUUUACAGGUUUGGUUGUAUAAGGUGAUUCCUUUUUUGACAAGUCUUGGGAACUCUAAAGAAGACUCUUCUGUAGUAUAUAGGAUAUAUUGAUGGCCCAGUGUUAAUAAUCCUAGUUCUAAUGAUAUGAAGAAGAAAGUAUUAUCCUCAUCAAAGUUUACUGUACGUCACCUUUUUCCAACAGCUGAGGAGAAUCAAAAUAUGGAUCUUGUUGGGUUCAAUUUUUCUCAUGCGGUAGUGUCUGAUGAUGAUUUUGAGGAUGCUCGAGAUUGAAAGAAGUUGGUUGCUAAAAAUGGGUGUUCAGGAUUGAAGAAGAAAGCUACUGAUAAAGGAUCGAUGUUAGAUGAGAUUAAAGAGUAUGUUAAGGGGAUUAUGGUAAAACAAGUUAAGAUUAAGUGUAUUUUGGAAGAUAUGAAGAAGGAUGUUGAUGGUAGGUUUGUAGCUUACGAGAAAAGCAUUAAGAGUUAUAUUGAUGUUAAAGUUGAAGAGGGGUUGACCUUGUAUCUUGAUAUUAAGUUUAAUGAAUUAAAGGAUGCUUUAAUGGUUGGAAAUGUUGCAGAAGAUAUUGGGGGAGAGAGUCAUGGUGUUGAUGAUGAGAGUGAUAAUGAUCAUGUUGUUGUCAUUACUAGUGGGUUGUGUUGAGAAGGAGGAUACAACAAUUAAUCUUUGGAUGGGCUCUAAAGAUGAUGGCUGUAGUAUUGAAAUAUAUAAGGAAAUAAAGAAUAUCUCUGACGCAAUGAUUGAGAUAGUUUCUACUGAUGGUCCUGUUUUUGUUGCAUCUACCUUUGAGGACAAGGAAUAUUUAGUAAUGUUGUUUAUAUAUAUAUAUAUAUAUUAGUUUUAGCAUAUCUUGUGUAUUGAUUAACCAUUUUCUAUCUUUUUAUUUUGUUUCUUUGUUAUGAUGGAGAUGAUGUUCCAAAUUUUGAUAUUAUGGGUUUUAUUUUGACUCACCUUGAAAAGCUUGAAGACAAAGGAAAAAAUGAUGGUGCAGUUGCAAUGGAUGAAGAGAAAGUUAAUGAAAAUUAAAUAAACGACAAGAUUUUAUUGUAUGCUAUAUUAUUUGUUUUCUGAGUUAUUAAUUUUUGUUGUUUUUGUAUAAUGUUGCUGAUGAUCAUUCCCAAUUUAAAAUUGGUGCAAAAGUCCCAAAAGAUGAAGAUGGUAAUAAUGGAAAUUCUAAGGAGUUUGGAGGUAAUGGUGGUGUUGGCGAAGUUAGUGAUAUUGACAUGCUUAAUGUGUUUGGUGUUAAUGAUUCACCUCAACAAGAAGACAAAUAAGAUAUUGGUUUUUUUUUUAUUUUAGUGUAUAUUUGUUUUUAUUUUACCUCAAAAAGCAACAUGUUAAAAAAAAUGUUUUGUUCUUUGUUGUUCAUUUUUUAUAGUGAUUGUGGAAUCUGUGUUGCGAAGCAUAUUGAGUUUUUUUAUCCAUGGUGCAAUUGAGAUACUUCCAAAUCCAUUAAAUAUGGAGUUCUUUAGAACAAGCUGGCUGUGGAGCUGUAUGUUCAUUCCAAGAAGAAGCAAUUGAAUGGCUAUGAGUCUGAGUUCGAGUUUCCUGGAAAGAUUGCAAAAGUUGGGAUGAAAUAGUGUUUCAAAAUGUUGGAUAUGGAUUGGAGAUUUUCUAAAUUCCAAUGUUGCUUAAGUUUUUAGGAGAACUGGUGUUUUUGAUGUUUUUGUUAAAACUGUAUUUGAGCUACUAUUCAAUGCUUUUAAGGACUAUUUUGAGCAGUUAUGUUUAAAGGUAGAAUAUUUUGUUGAACCAGUACUUGUGCUACCAUUGAGUAGAUUUUUAUGGACAAUUGUGAAUGGUUAUGUUAGAAGGUAGACUAUUUUGCUGAA